AAGUCGAACGAUGAUGCCCAGCUUGCUGGGUGGAUUAGUGGCGAACGGGUGAGUAACACGUGAGUAACCUGCCCCUGACUCUGGGAUAAGCGUUGGAAACGACGUCUAAUACUGGAUAUGAUCACUGGCCGCAUGGUCUGGUGGUGGAAAGAUUUUUUGGUUGGGGAUGGACUCGCGGCCUAUCAGCUUGUUGGUGAGGUAAUGGCUCACCAAGGCGACGACGGGUAGCCGGCCUGAGAGGGUGACCGGCCACACUGGGACUGAGACACGGCCCAGACUCCUACGGGAGGCAGCAGUGGGGAAUAUUGCACAAUGGGCGAAAGCCUGAUGCAGCAACGCCGCGUGAGGGAUGACGGCCUUCGGGUUGUAAACCUCUUUUAGUAGGGAAGAAGCGAAAGUGACGGUACCUGCAGAAAAAGCACCGGCUAACUACGUGCCAGCAGCCGCGGUAAUACGUAGGGUGCAAGCGUUGUCCGGAAUUAUUGGGCGUAAAGAGCUCGUAGGCGGUUUGUCGCGUCUGCUGUGAAAUCCCGAGGCUCAACCUCGGGCUUGCAGUGGGUACGGGCAGACUAGAGUGCGGUAGGGGAGAUUGGAAUUCCUGGUGUAGCGGUGGAAUGCGCAGAUAUCAGGAGGAACACCGAUGGCGAAGGCAGAUCUCUGGGCCGUAACUGACGCUGAGGAGCGAAAGCAUGGGGAGCGAACAGGAUUAGAUACCCUGGUAGUCCAUGCCGUAAACGUUGGGCGCUAGAUGUAGGGACCUUUCCACGGUUUCUGUGUCGUAGCUAACGCAUUAAGCGCCCCGCCUGGGGAGUACGGCCGCAAGGCUAAAACUCAAAGGAAUUGACGGGGGCCCGCACAAGCGGCGGAGCAUGCGGAUUAAUUCGAUGCAACGCGAAGAACCUUACCAAGGCUUGACAUACACCGGAAACGGCCAGAGAUGGUCGCCCCCUUGUGGUCGGUGUACAGGUGGUGCAUGGUUGUCGUCAGCUCGUGUCGUGAGAUGUUGGGUUAAGUCCCGCAACGAGCGCAACCCUCGUUCUAUGUUGCCAGCGGGUUAUGCCGGGGACUCAUAGGAGACUGCCGGGGUCAACUCGGAGGAAGGUGGGGAUGACGUCAAAUCAUCAUGCCCCUUAUGUCUUGGGCUUCACGCAUGCUACAAUGGCCGGUACAAAGGGCUGCGAUACCGUAAGGUGGAGCGAAUCCCAAAAAGCCGGUCUCAGUUCGGAUUGAGGUCUGCAACUCGACCUCAUGAAGUCGGAGUCGCUAGUAAUCGCAGAUCAGCAACGCUGCGGUGAAUACGUUCCCGGGCCUUGUACACACCGCCCGUCA
rnacentral:rRNA from 1 species